GGUCGCACAAGGCCGAGCUGGAGCACUCGUGGAGUUGGCAGGAAAGGCACGGCUGCGUGCGCCCCCUGUCCGCACGGAGGAACCAAAGUCCCGCAGGGUGGGGUCCCCGCCUGCGCGGAGAUGGCCACCCGGCCGAGAGAACAGGCGAGGCGGAAACCUGAGAAACUCCUGUCUGGUGCACCUAACCCUCUCCCUCGUAAAGUGCACACGAACUCUGGUUUUUACGUUGCAAAUUUUGCUUUCUACACAGACCAUACCACUCGUUGUUCUCUGAGGAUGAGCUCCUGGCUUCCCAAUCCAGCAGAAGUAUCUACAUCUAUUUCUGGAAAGGACCUGAACUUGGCUUCUCGUCCCUCUGGAAAGUGAGGCGAAAAUGCCAGGCUGCGCAGCUACCCUGAGGCCCGGCCUGGUACCUGGCUAGCCACCCAGUCCUGAUACGUCAUCUCCUUUCUGUUGGAUAAAGUCAUUGGAUAAGAUCCCCCAGGGUCUUCUUAACACUGAACAUCUGUUCAUAAUCACAUAAGUGACCAAAUAUAGUGGAAAACCCGAAUGGUCAACUGGGCUGAGCAAUGGGAGAGAGCGCAGGAUGAGCUCACCUACACCUGAGCAAGAAGCCGGGGAUAAUACAUGGAAAUCAUUGAGAUGGAUUUUGAUACAGGGCAGAAGGAAAAGUAAAAUAAUCUCAUACUACUUUCCACCUGAAGUUCUGAGCCAAAAGAGUUAUUUGCUCAAACACUUCAAACUGGGGAGGGACAGAGCUCUGAUGCCUCCCUUCAGGCCUGUUUUUGUUGUUGUAGUUGUUGUUUUUUGUGUGUUUGUUUUUGAGACGGAGUUUCCCUCUUGUUGCCCAGACUGGA